rnacentral:rRNA from 1 species
UACAGAGGGGGCAAGCGUUGUUCGGAAUUACUGGGCGUAAAGGGCGCGUAGGCGGCCUGCUAAGUCGAACGUGAAAUCCCCGGGCUCAACCCGGGAACUGCGUCCGAUACUGGCAGGCUUGAAUCCGGGAGAGGGAUGUGGAAUUCCAGGUGUAGCGGUGAAAUGCGCAGAUAUCAGGAGGAACACCAAUUGCGAAGGCAGCUCGCUGGGACGUUACUGACGCUGAGACGCGAAAGCGUGGGGAGCAAACAGG